CUCAUCAAGAGCAAUCGAGGGACUGGCCCGAUGACAUUGCAGCAACCAUUCAAUACGAACCGGUGCUAAAUCCAACAGCUUAAGCUGGCAGAUGAGA
rnacentral:ncRNA from 1 species